rnacentral:lncRNA from 1 species
AAUAGCAAAAUGCAGUUGCUAGUAUUGGGGUUGAAAAUCCUUGAUUUCAUUGAGAAUGAUGGUUAUACGGUUAACCUUUUCUAUUGACGGUUCGGUCUUUGUAACACCCCGAACUCAUGGCCGUUACCAGAAAUCGAACACGAGGUGUUACCGGCUUACUUCAUUUAUUUCCCCCUAUAUUUUUUUUGUUCCAGGCAAGCUGGCUACUGUAUCGUGGUUGCUUUAAAAAUCAUAUUUUGAGUUCUAAAACUCGAAAUCCAAUUCUUUAAAUUUUCCCC